rnacentral:pre_miRNA from 1 species
ACAACAUGCGGACCGUCGGUCUACCGAGCAAUAUCACCCGCUCGGUGGAAGAUCUUCCCUUUGUCGU